GAUGAAGAACGUAGCGAAAUGCGAUAAGUAAUGUGAAUUGCAGAAUUCAGUGAAUCAUCGAAUCUUUGAACGCACAUUGCGCCCCCUGGUAUUCCGGGGGGCAUGCCUGUCCGAGCGUCAUUACAACCCUCAAGCUCAGCUUGGUAUUGGGCCCCGCCGACCCGGCGGGCCCUAAAGUCAGUGGCGGUGCCGUCCGGCUCCGAGCGUAGUAAUUCUUCUCGCUCUGGAGGUCCGGUCGUGUGCUCGCCAGCAACCCCCAAUUUUUUUCAGGUUGACCUCGAAUCAGGUAGGAAUACCCGCUGAACUUAAGCAUAUCAAUAAGCGGAGGA
rnacentral:misc_RNA from 1 species